rnacentral:rRNA from 1 species
CCUACGGGGGGCAGCCGUGGGGAAUAUUGCACAAUGGGGGAAACCCUGAUGCAGCUACGCCGCGUGAGUGAAGAAGUAUCUCGGUACGUAAAGCUCUAUCAGCAGGGAAGAAAAUGACGGUACCUGACUAAGAAGCCCCGGCUAACUACGUGCCAGCAGCCGCGGUACAACGUAGGGGGCAAGCGUUAUCCGGAUUUCCUGGGUGUAAAGGGAUCGUAGACGGCAGCACAAUUCUUGAGGGAAGUCCCGGGGCUUAACCCCGGAACUGCUUGGGACACUGUGCGGCUGGAGUGCAGGAGGGGUAAGCGGAAUUACUAGUGUAGCGGGGAAAUGCGUAGAUAUUAGGAGGAACACCGGUGGCGAAGGCGGCUUACUGGACUGUAACUGACGUUGAGGCUCGAAAGCGUGGGGAGCAAACAGGAUUAGAUACCCGUGUAGUC